rnacentral:lncRNA from 1 species
GUUAACUUUGUUGGAUUAGAGGUUUGAGUCGCAACUUUAUUUUGUUGAUCUGUGAUUGGAAACAUUGUAAUUAAGUUAAUGACCGACUGUUUUUAUUCUGUCUUUGAAACCGUUUUUAAAUAUGUGUUUAAUUAUUAGUUGCAUCUGUGUUUUGAUUUUGUUUAUCCGCAUUCACAAACUUUUCAACAACCCUCCCCCCAACCUUCGUGUUUGACUUUAUUCUUG